rnacentral:misc_RNA from 1 species
GAAGCAAUGAUGUUAAUGGUGAUGGUGUUGAAGAUAUUAUCAUUGGAUUUAGUACAGGUUUUAAGUUUAUAGUUUUAUGUUUUUGCUGAAUAUUUCAGUUUAUGAGGAUUAGAUGUGAAGAACAUUCCAGAAUAUAUUUGUGCAUUAUAUUUUGAUGGACAAGUUCCA